AUCGCUUCUCGGCCUUUUGGCUAAGAUCAAGUGUAGUAUCUGUUCUUAUCAGUUUAAUAUUUGAUACGUCGUCUAUCUGACAACAAUGUAUUAAAUGGAGUUUUGGCACUAGGAACUGGAAUAGGAGCUUGCUAUUCCAUGCAUCGACCUGGUAUUGCAGUACCUCCAGGAACGAUGCACCAAAA